rnacentral:sRNA from 1 species
CUUCGUAAGCCUGUUGCGGACAGAUGAAGUGGAUGUGACUGUCGAACCCACCAGCAGUGACGAUCUUGCCUUCACCCGCAAUAACAUCUGUGUUUGCGCCUACAACCAAGUCUGGAUGCACGCCGUGCAUCACGUCCGGGUUGCCAGCCUUGCCGAUUCCGGAAAUUAGGCCGUUAGUGAUACCAAUAUCGGCCUUGUAGAUGCCACUCCAAUCGACGAUGACUGCGUUGGUGAUUACAGUGUCAAGGCAUUCCUUGUCCGGAACGCCAGAAGCAGAACCCAUGCCGUCUCUGAUG